CUCUCUCUUUGCCUACUGCCAUCCAGGAAGACGUGACUUGCUUCUUCUUGCCUUCCACUAUGAUUGUGGGAAGGCCUCCCCAGUCAUGUGGAACUGUGCUGUGUGAAGAAUGGAAACAUGCAACAAUAAAGACACCAGUCCUGGUGGACCUGAUGGCCUAUGUCUGGUGUGGCGGGGGACAGAUAAGUAAACAGAUCGUCCUAUACGGGGUAGCCAACGCUAUCAUCUGAUAGAAGUAAGCAUGAGGUACCAGUCAAGUAUGCAAGUAUCUGUGCAUGAGAUGCUAGUCAAGUAUUUGUGUGUGCAUGUUUGAAGGCUUCCUGGAAGAGAUCACUGAAACUCUAAGAGUAGGUAGCCAGGUUAAGAAUGGGGGCAGAGCAGGAUAUCUGAGGCAGUGGAAGCAAUUUGAGCAAUGUGUGGAGUGGAGAGAGAACCUGACUUGUUUGAUAAGCUUGGAAGGUUAAGCAUAGCUAGAACAGGGUAUUGGAAGAGUUUUAUAGAGGAAAAGAUGACUAGAGGUAGGCUGCCAGAUGUUCUCUCCCAAAAUAUUUGACCAUCAGUGUAGCAGGGCAGAUAUUAGUGUGAUUAUGAAAACAUAUAUGUGUGUGUGUAUAUACAUAUGUAUGUAUAUUUAAAUGCAUUACAUAUUUCAAUCAGUGAUAUGUGUUUUUCUAGGUAUCUUUUUGGCAUAUUUUUAAGAAACACAUUUCGAAAAUUAAAUGUAGGUGUGAACCCUUCGCCACACCCAAAGAACCAUUCUUGACACUCAUGCAGAACAUUUUAUGCCCCAGUUUGAAUAUCUGACUUUGGUUUAUCUCACUGAUACCUGUAGCCCCUCCAAAGUAGUGGUAGACAGAGCUGAGACAAGAAAUUUCACAGCUUUUUCCUAUUGUGGAACAAACAAUCUGAGUUUAAAACAUAUUGACUUACUGAAUUAAAGUAAGUCACUCCACCUCUUAAAGACUCAGUCACACAUCCAAUUUUCCAGGGGCCUGUGGCCACUGAGUGUCACAGAGUGUGGAAGGCUGUAGGGGCCAGUCCAGAGGAGAGACCACAUGGCCUGAUUGCCCAGUAGAAAUUGAUAUUCACAAAAGAAUGCUGGCUCAAAAAAAUAAAUUGAAAAAAAAAAAAAAACCCCAGCAACACAGUGAACAGGUGGCUUAGUAUGGCUGGCCGUGCUUGCACUUUUUAAUGACCUGAUUUGUUUCCAAAAUUUGUUUUAGGUAAUGUAUUAGUCUGUUCUCAUGCUGCUGUAAAGAACUACCCAAGACUGGGUAAUUUAUAAAGAAAAGAGGUUUGAUUGACUCACAGUUCCACAGGCUGUACAGGAGGCAUGGCUUGGGAAGCCUCGAGAAAUUUACAAUCAUGGCGGAAGGCAAAGGGGAAGCCAGCAUGUCUCACAUGGCAGGAGCAGGAGGAAUAGAGAGCAGGAGGAGGUGCUACACAUUUCAAAAAGCCAGAUCUCAUGAGAACUCACUCACUAUCAUGAGAACAGCAAGGGGGAAGUCCGCCCCCAUGAUCCAGUCACCUCCCACCAGACCCCUCCUCCAACACUGGGAUUACAAUUUGACAUGUGAUUUGGGUGGGGACACAGGGUCAAACCAUAUCAGGUAACAAAACUCCAGUCUCAAAAAUGGUAAGUCAAUUUUAUUGCUAUUAUAAUUCUUAAAACUGGUGUUGAUGAUGAUGAUGAUAGCAGUUAUUUGUACAGUAACAUGCCCAAGACAAAUCCCAAGAGAGGAACAUAAACAAAAUCAAGUGGGGAGAUUUGACUUUGCCCAAGUUCUUCUCAACUAGAAAUUUCUAAAGGUGUUUUGUGUGGAGUGCUGCGCUAUGUGCAGUUUUCAGCUAUUCAACCUCAAGGAUGUCAAAUUGUUGGAAGAGAUUCAAAGAAGGAUAAUCAAACUUGGAUGGAGCUGACUUAAAGAAAUGGGCUAACCUCCAGAAAGAAUGCCAUUGAAUCCAGAGAGAGGUGCCGUUGAAUCAGCCCUUGCUGAUGAAGCCUCUUCACUGUACUGCUCAGACCUCUCCAUCCUGGUGGCAAGGGCUUAGACCAUUAUUCAUGGUCUGACUGGCCUCGAGGUGGCUGUCUCGCCUUUGAAAAAGGGCAGACACAGAGCAUGUUCAGAGCACGGAGCCAUACUGUGCGAUUUCUUCAAAGAGAGCUUAACCACAGGUUUGUCACAGACUCCUCUUGCUCCUUCCUUCCAAUUUAGUCCUUAAAUGUGGUCCAACUACAACAAGAGGGAAGUCUCACAAUCUAGAAUAUUGGGGGUUUUGUCACUAUUCAUUUUUAUUAAUAGAAAACAAACCUUUAUUCCAAAUUUGUUAUACUUGAAAUUGCUAAUUUAAAAAAAUGAAUUUAGGGCUGAGGUGGGAGGAUCAUUUGAGGCCAGGAGUUCGAGACCAGUCUGGACAACAUAGUGAGACCCUGUCUCUAAAAACACUGGAAAAACAGUUAGCUGGGUAUGGUGGCAGGUGCCUGUAGUCCCAGCUACUCAGGAGGCUGAGGCAGGAGGAUCACUUGAGCCUAGGAGUUGAAGGCUGCAGUGAGCUAUGAUAGUGCCUCUGCACUCCAGCCUGGGUGACAGAGCAAGAAACUGUCUCCAAAACAAAUAUAUUGAAUUGAAAAUAAUCACGUAAUAAUCUUGCUUUGACUAAGACAAUGAAACUGUGGCUUUUAAAAAAAAAGUAUUUUAGCACCAUAUGCUCAUUUGUCUUUCAGAAUUUGGAUUAAUGAAUGACGUAACUGCUUCAGGGCAACACACCCUCACUGCAGCUGCUUAGCCCAGGAAGCAGCAAGGUCAAUACAAGGAGAGCCACAGGCCUGGGGAGAUGCAUGCCUUCCUUCCUGGCCACGUGGAUCUCACUACUUAGCCCAGAUGGCCUGCGAGAAGGACAAAGCCAAGCACUUCACAACACUGUCAGUUGCUGUCCUGAAGAAGGUGGCCAGGAGCUCUAGAAGGAUUCAAAGCCCCAGGGAUUUUUGGUUUUUAUGUAUACACUUCUCUUUACAUACUUGUUCCUCAACAUCCAAUCAGCCUUGCAGGUUUGUCCCCGCUCCUAGCAUUCAGAAACACUCAAGAGCAGGGUGGGUCAGAGCUCUCCACCACAUACGCAGCAGAGUGAAAGAAGCUGCCCUGCAGGACAGCUCCAGGCUCAUGGCCACCCCUCCUCACAUGCAUACCUCCUCCUCUUCCACCAAACAACAACAAACUCCUUCAUGUAGCAUUCACGCCCUCCUCUUGUGGCCUCUACCUGCCAUCCCACACCAAUCCCUUUUUAUGUCCCCACAGGUACCCAGGAGUCUCCCCUAACUAAAUUCCCCACUGCUUCUCCAAAUCACCCCAAUCCUACUUCCCACUGAAACUAACAAGAAGGGAAGGAAGGUGUUAACAAAUGAAGUCUUCGAAGGAAGUCACCCCAAGAAUCUGGGCCUACUAGUCAUUCCCUAAGGCUCAGCUCUUGGCAUUUGCUUCGUUCCCUGGGCCAUUAUUUUCAUACUGUGAAGAAAUUUCACCCUAGUCCCAUUUUGGAGAGCAAGUGUUGGUACAGUGCUGGGUAAAGACCCUGACACCAGGUCCUGGUCCCUGGCCCAGAGCAGGGGAUAUGAAGGGAAGCCCCACUCACUGUGUGCUCCCUCACUGACUCCUCAAAGGAAUUCCAGGAAGGGUGCUUUAGUGACCCUUUGGCUCACAGAGUUAGAGUGACCUGCCCAAGGCCACCCAGAGAAUGAAUGGUGGGACUGAGAUCACACCUGGGCCUGCCUGGCUGCCAAGCCUUUUGCUAUUUUCAUUAUUCCACAUUUCUUUCCAAGGAUACAGAAAGCAGGGAUAGGAAGUGCUGUGGAAACAAGCAAAAAGCCUUAUCCAUAGUCAGCAUCCAAAAAGUACUAUACCUUCUCUGACCCCUGCUUUAUUUAUUUGUUUAUUUUCAGGGAUGAUGUAAUAGCCAGAAAAAUAAGUGAACAGAAGAUUCCGGGUUCUACUUUAUGCCAAUUUUUCUUAAAUAUCUCAGUCACUAGAAAAAGAUCUAUUUGAAAAUCUUGCUCUGAGCAGUUUCUGUCUUGGGCCCAGUUGUUUGAGGAGCCUGUUGAAUUUUUAAAUUUAUUAGUGUUCCCAUGCUUCAUUCAUUGGCAUAUAUGUAUAUUCUCUAUACUUUAUAAUUACAAGUAAGCUCUUGAUAAUAAAAAGUAACUGUCAUUCUGUGAAGCUCUUUAAUGCAGCCAAAGAUAAUUUCAGGGGGCAAUUGGCAGUCUAAGUCCUUGCUUUCUCUCAUUUUAAAGGAGAACCAAAUCAACUUAGAGUGAAUUUGUUCAAAUGUGGGUAAGAUUUAACAGGCACUUCAGCUGCCCAGGGUACUUUUCCAUGUCUCUCCAACCAACCCCACCCAAAUAGCUUAGGAUUGGCAUUUUCUGAUGAGCACAGGGAUAGAGAAUGAGAACGGAGUCAGGUCCUCAGGUAUUCAAGGUUAGAAUUCCUUCUUAACCUUGCCCACUAUGCCCUAUGUGGGGACAUGCUACAGCAGAGAUCACUUGAGAAUUAUCCUGUGGCUCACACUGCCAUAAUUAGUUAUCUGUUCGGCACCUCUCAACUAAUCAGAACAAUGGCACAUCCAAAAGUAAAAGGAGAAGAAAGGAGACAAGAAUACAGCGACUGAAUAAUAAAAUGGGUGAAUCAGUUAGCAGAGCAAAAGACAGCACAGUCAUAGGCUGGCUAAGGUUAUACUUUUUGUUUUUUAUUUUAUUUUUUAGGCAGAGCAAGACAGUCUUGCUCUGUCACCCAGGCAUAAGUGCAGUGGCAUGAUCUCUGCUCACUGCAACCUCUGCCUCCCGAGUUCAAGUGAUUCUCAUGUUUCAACCUCCUGAGUAGCUGGGAUUACAGGUGUGCGUAACCACGCCUGGCUAAUUUUUGAAUUUUUAGUAGAGACGGGGUUUCACCAUGUUGACCAGGCUGGUCUCGAACUCCUGACCUCAAGUGAUCCACCCGCGUCAGCUUCUGAAAGUGCUGGGAUUACAGGCAUGAGCCACCGCACCUGGCUAGCUUUAUUAUUAAGCCCUGUCAGCACCCACAAAGAGAAGUACUGGGAUGGCACAGACAGCGGAGACAGUGACAAAGACCAAGGUUAAGGCUGGAGUUAUGUGGAAAAAGAAAAUGGAAUGAGACCAAGCAAUUGGGGAUGAAGAAUAAAAAGCAGAACCAGUGACAGCAGGGAGCAGAGAUCAGAAGGAACAAGAAGAUACUCUGGAAGAAUACAACCAAACAAGAAAAAGAAUGAAUUGUAUGUGAACAUUGAGUUUAGGGGCAAGCUGACUGUCUUAGCCAGUUCAGGCUGCUGUAACAAAACACCAAAAACUGGGUAGCUUUUAAAACAGAAAUGUAUUGCUCACAGUUCUGGGGGCUGGGAAGGUUAAGAUGAAGCUGCUAGCACAUUCAGCAUCUGUUGAAGACCUGGUUCACUGAUGGCGCCUUCUAGCUGUGUCCUCACAUAGUGAAAGGGGGUGAAUGAGCUCCAUUGGGCCUCUUUUAUUAGGACAAUAAUCCCACUCAUGAAGGUUCAUGAUCUUAUCACCUCCCCCAAAGCCCCACCUCCUAAUACCAUCGCUUGGGAGUUGAGGAUUUCAACGUAUGAAUUUUGGGAAGGACACAAACAUUUAGAUUAUAGCACCAGCUUACAAAUCUCAAUGGCUCCUGAGGUUGGCAUCACGGGAUUAUAGAAAAGCACCAUAACUGAGGCUUAGCAUGAGGCUGAGUCAUAAAGAGCAUUUAAAGUCAUGAAUGUGUUAUAUAUGGAAGACCACAGAGAUGUGUCAUAAGUUUUAGAUGGAUUUUGAUACAGUAUAGUUGAAAUUUAGAUUUUAUCAGUAAAAGCCUAAGCAUUGAGCUAUUUGCAAGGAUAACCAGUUUCCAACCAUCCCAGAUAACUAAAGGAUAGUCAAAAAAUCACUAUCCAAAGGCUAUUGUUGUUUCCAAAGGCACAGAGAUGUAAAAGUGGGGCCACCUUAAGAAAAAGACAUGGAUUCCUAUUGCUGGAUCAGAGGGUCCAGGGGGAGGGGUGGAGGUGGUGUGGAAUCGCAAAGCUCGGGAGACACUGAAUGCAUUGAAACAAGGGUGUGUCUUGAGCUACUUACGUUUUGGAAAUACAAUACUGGCAGGAUACUAUAGGAGACUGCAGUGGGAGAAAAAUUGUCCGCAGGACCAAGAAUAAGGUAAGGCAAGUGAGGUGCUUAUCUCUGAUGUAAAAUUUAAGGAAGUGCUAAAACCCCAAGUUAUUAAUAAUAAAUAAUAUUUUAAUGCAAUAUUUUUAGAAAUAAAUAUGUGUGCACAAAAUACAUGAUGAACAAAAUAUCAAAAAAAUUUUAUUAUUAAAAUAUCAAAAAUUUAAAUCAAGACAGACUCAGCAGUGACAAAGGCAAUAUCCAGGAGAGGCUGGAUGACUCAGAGAGAUGUUUAAGAGGAAGGAUUAAGUAACUGAUCAAAUGUUGCUGGAACAGUGAAACCGGGGAGACAUGGGAGUCAAGGACAAAGCCCAAGUUUAUGACUCAGGGGGACCUGCCAGUCACCAGCGUAGGGCAGUCAGAGAAGAGGUAGAUUUACAGGAGGAUGCGGGUGAGAUCUGCCGUGAGUUUGUCACAUUUGAGGUGUGCAUGGGAUAUCAAAGGGGAGGAAAUCUAGCCAGUGACAGGGCAUAUGGACCUAGCACUCAGUAGAGAAGUCUGGGCUGGCCAUAAAGGGUGGGGAUUUCUCACAUGUAGGUGCUGCUGGGAGCUGUGUGUGUAGGUGAGCCUGACCAAAGAGCGAGUGUGUAGAGAAAAGACAACGGUACCGAACAUAAUAAAAAGUAGUAAUAACAUUGAUUGAGGCUUACUCUGCACUAGCCAUUCUGCUGAGUAGUUUAUAAACAUUAUCUAAUGAUCCUCACAACAACUUAAAAGGUCUGUGUUAUCAUUAGCCCCAUUUUCCAGUUGAGGAAAUGGGCAGUUAGAGAGGUUAAGUAAGCCAGGAUUUGAGCUCAGCAAAUAAAUAACAAAACCAAGCUACAAACUCAGGAAGCCUGAAGAGAGGAGGGAGGCAGCCGGGCUCUGGAGAGUGAGGCCCAGGAUGUGGAUUCUAGCUUCGUGGUUUAUGGGGUGUGUGGUCUUGGCCAGCACUCAUGUUCUCCUGGAGCCUCUGUGUCUUCAUCUGUAAGAUGAGGAGGAGAUACAAAUCUUACAUGAUUGUUGUGAGGGUGAGAUGGGAAAGGUGAAGUGUCUGAUGCAUGGUAGGUGCUCAAGAUGAGCUGGUACCUAGUGCAGUCAUUAGGAAUGCCCCAGUGUCAUGCAAACAUUUAAAGGGACUGAGUGAAGAGGACACUGGGAAAGAGAAUAUGAUGGAGAGGUAAGAGGAGACCCUCUCUGAGAGAUGGAAUCAAAGGAAGGAAGGGGGGUGGGCACAACAGUUUGGUUUCGUUGCUAGAUAGUGAUGUCCUUAGCAGAAGCACCGGAAAUGCAGUGGAGCAGUGGGGCAUGAAUUGAUGGUUAGGAAAGAGAGCUAAUGAGUGCUAACAAUGCUUCCCAAAAGCUUGGCUCAGAAGGGAAAGAAAGGGAGGGAUGUUGCUUGAGGGAGACACAGAGAUCAGGCAGAGCUCUCUUUUCACCCACAAACGCUCCACAAUGGGAGAACUUACAACAUUUUUUUCCUCCCUGAGAGAAGUUCAUGGAGAGUGAAAAAAAAAAAAACACCUGAUCUAAAAAUAAUGAUGACUUGCCACUUACAAUAAUUUAACAUAUUUUAAAGUACUUUUACAUCUAAUGUGACGUGGAGCCUUCAGAACAAUCUUAUGGAGUAGACUAGGCAGGUAGCAUCCCCAAUUCAUAGAUACUGAAAUGAAGACUCAGGAGAAGAUUGGAGAUUCAAAGAUGAUCAAUGUGGAAAGAUUAAGAGACUCCCUCCUCACUGCAGCUGGUGUGCAGAGUUGAGGUAAUGGGCAGAUUCCAGAAUAGCCAUGAAGGGGCUGUGUCUGCAAGAGAGAGUUACUAGCGGAGGAAAAGGCAAGCUGCCUGUAGGUAAGAAUGUGUGGGAGGAAGUGAGUGGGACAGAGAAGGGACUUUGACUCCUCCCUGACAAACUCUAAACCAUGAAAGAGAUAUCUGAAAAGGGUUGUAAAGUUUAAUUUUGUAUUAUGAAUGUAUGAAGACUUUGAAAUUUCUUAAAACAUUGAGAUAGGAGUGGAAAUGUUUGCAGUGUUUUGGCUUUUCAGAAGCCCUGGGUACAUGGGUGUAUUAGUUAGCGUUCUACAAACAGACAGAACCAAUAGGAUAUAUAUAGAGAGAUAUGAGAGGGGGUUUAUUAGGGGAAUUGGCUCACAUAAUUAUGGAGGCUGAGAAGUCCCACGGCAAGCCAUCUGCAAGCUGGAGACUCUGGGAUGCUGGUAGCAUGGUCAGUCCAUGUUCAAAAUCCUCAGAACUGUGGAGGCUGGUGGUGUAAUUCUCAGGCUGAGUUCACAGACCUGAAAAGCUGAGAAGGCAAAGGUGGGGAGGUGGACAACUGUGUAAGUCCUGGAUUCCUAAGGCCAAAGAGCUUGAAGUCUUGAUGUCAGGAAGAGAAGAGUGUACAUGUCCCAGUUGCAGGAGAAAGCGAAGGGAAAUCCUUUUCUCUCCUUUGUAAUUCUCUCUGGGCCCUCAGCCUGACUACAUUGAAGGCAGAUCUUUCCCCACUUAGUCCACUCAGGCUCACACACUAAUUGCCUCUGGAAACAGCCUCAUAGACACACCCCAAAAUAAUGCUUUACCAGUUCUCUUGGUAUUCCUUAAUCCAGUCAAAUUGACAUCUGAAAUUAGCUAUCACAUGGACAUGGUGAUAUUUGGAUUAUAUGUGGCUGGCAGUUGGGUAGCACCAGACUUGAUCCCAGGUCUUCGGAUGUAGAACUAUCACCCUAUCCACCAACCACAUUGCUUUUGUUUGCAAGCAGAACUUUUGCUUUCCAGAAGUGGAGUAAAAACAAAUUUUUUUUGGUUUUCAUUGUGAGGAUUCCAACCUUAACUCCACUGAGGAUCAUGAACAAUGCUUCCAGAGAGGCAAAAGAUUAGGGAUAAUUUGCAUAAUGCUAGUUAGUUCAAUUUCAUUAGAUUUAUUUAAUAAUCAUUGAAGGCUGGAUGUCAUGCAGAACUUAGAGGGGAUUGUGCAGAGAAAUUAAAAGCAGGCUAAACUUAAAUUGUUCAUUGACGUCCCAAACCUGAAGCUAUUAAUGCUAGAACAGAAUUAGAUUCACCAGCAUGUACCUGACGUGCCCUUUGGAAAGCAUGUUAACCGUUUUACGUAAGAAGUGGCAUUUCAUCCAGGUUUACUCAUUUGCAUACUUGUGAUUUCAUUUGCAUAUAUUUUACUGUGCAGUGCUCUGGAAAUAUAUUCACUUAUUUUAUUCCCUCCUUUAAGUUCCUUACACCCUCUACAGUACCAAAGGACUUACAUGACCAAAUAUUGAGGAAAAUAUUCUUGUUAGAAAGGAUGACAACUAUGGAGCUUCCCUAUCCACCAAUCUGCCAUCAACAUUCUCUUUGAUUCUUUUAAAUAUCUAGUGGGCAUGUUUUCCUAUUUUCUAUUUCCACUGCAUCAUCCUAGAACAGGACUUACUUACCUCCUAAACAGCCUCCUGGCUUCCAGCCAAAACCAUCCAAUUCAAUCUAUCUCCUGCUUUCUGCAUACCUUCCCUAAAACACCACUUACCUAAUACUCAGUGGCCUUCAUAGCGAUCUAAUGGCAUUUUUAUAUUAGGUUCAUCACAUUUCAAAUUCUUAACGUCUGCCAUGGUCACACUUCCAAAAAUUUAUAGCUGUUAGUAUUUACAGCCAUCUUCACUUUACCAUUAAAGAGAAGUAAGACUUUUCUGACUUUGCUUUUCCCCUUCUUACAUCCUCUAAGAAGGAUUGUGUCCUUGCCUGCUCAGUUCCUCAUGGGGGCAAUGAGGAAAGAAAAGCAGAAAAGUAUGAAUAAGGACUGCAUCAGAAGGGCUGGAAAUUUCCUUUUCUUUCCUUAUUAUUUUUGGAACAGAAGAAUAUAGAGGUAGAAAGAAAAGGGGAGGGACUGGAAAGAUGAGGGCUUUAAGAAAGGGUGAGAUUUCAGGGAAAGACUUAGAGUUUAGAAAGAGUGGUUGAAAGUGAAACUUCUGCAUAGCUUUCUAACUUGAGAGUGGCUAAGAUAAAAAGUAGAGCUCUGCUGAGGUCAGAUAGAGGGAGAGGACAUCUAAGUAUUAACGGAAAAACAGGACGUGGAGAGAGAAGUUAAGUGAAAAGUUAGGAUAUUGGUUUGGCCAUUGUGACAAUUAUUGAAAUAAUAGUAGUAUAAAAGAGAUGAAAGCUUUAUUUCUCUUACAAAAACGUCUGGUUUGAGGGUAGUCCAGGAGGUUAAGAGUGCUCUGUGAGAUGAAAAAGGAGCCCAGGUUUCCUCUAUCUUGUUGCUCUUGAAGGCAUUGUCCUUGUCUAUAUGAUCAGGGUUGGUCAUCCCCUCCACAUUCAUAUUCCAACCCAAAGAGGGAGGAGAGAGGAAGUAGAGCAAGUCUUCUUUUAAGGGCAGAAACUCUGAAUUGCACACAUCACUCUGUUGACAUUCCGUUUGCCUGAACAUCCUCAGAUGGUGAAACCUACUUGCAAGAGAGGCAGGGCAGGAUAUUCUCUAGGUGGGCAGUUCAGUGCCACGCAAAACUCAGGGGAGUACAUUACUAAAAUAAAUCAGGGAAGACUAAACAGAGGAACAAUUAGCAGUCUCUGCACUUAUAGUUAGAUAAACAAAAGAGCCUAAAUCUCAAUAAGCUUGAGUUGGCUGCAGGGAGUUUGAAAGCUAAUAUGGUUUCAGAUUGCAGAGGUGUGUGUGUUGGUUUUACAGGGGAGCAAGGCAGUAGAAAAGGAAAUCUUAUAGAGUAAAUCUGUAUAUUUAGUGUAAUUGACAUUGUAAUAUAGCAGGACACACUCUGGGGUUCAUGACUCUAGCUCAUAAGUAUGUCUUCAGUUCAGGGGUGAGCCAACAUUUUCUGUGAAGGGACAAAUAAUAAAUAUUUCAGCGUUUGUGAGCCAUGCAAUCUCUGUCAAAUAUAUUCAACUCUGCCAUUGAAUUACAGAGGCAGCCCUAACAAUAUGUAAGCAAAUAGGCAUGGUUAUUUUCCAAGAAAGUGUUAUUUAUGAAAACAGGCAGUGGUUCAGGUUUGACCUGUGGGCCUUAGUUUGCUGCCCCCUGCUUUAGUCUAUUGCUUCUGAAUCUAGUAUCUGGCCCCAUCUAAUAUAAACCUGCCAUCUACUACUUACUUAUCAAUUUAUUUAACUGAGGAUGCAUUCUAUGCUAGGCCCUGAGAUACAAAAGUGAGACAUAGUACCUGAAAACAGGGAGGUAUUGUCUAGAAAGGAGAUAUACGAGGAAGUAAUUUCAAAGCACCCUGGUAAUUUCUACAAUAGACAUAUGGGCCAGAAUCUGUAGGAACAUGAGGGAAGGUAUGCCAAAGCUUGCCUGAAUGUCAGGGAACGCUUCUCAGAGGUAAGGUAUGCAGGGACCUGAAGACAAAUGGAAGUAGCCCUUUCCAAGGAGGAAAGAAAUUUAAGGGGAAGAAAUGGCAUGUGUGUGAAAAUGAAAGAGUUUGGCAUGUUUCUAGCACCACAAGUGUUCAAGGAGCAGAGGAGAAGGCCUAGGAGUUCAGACUAUAAAGGUCAUUUAGGAUCAUUCUAAAGAAUUUUGCUUUUUCUUAUAGAUAAUGAGGAUUAUUGAGAAAACAUUCAAUCAGGCAGUAAUGGUUUCACAUCUGAGUGUUAGAGUGAUGCCUCCUGAAGGAGUGUGUGCCAUGGAUGGAAGGGGUGGAAGACUAGAGCAGGGAUGCCAGUGAGGGUUAGCAUGUGUUUAGGAGAAAGAGGGCAGGUGGCUGAAACUAGUGGCCAGCGACAGGCUGGUACGUUAGUCCAUUCUCACACUGCUAUAAAAAGCUACCUGAGACUGGGUAAUUUAUAAAGAAAUUAUAAAGAACUUUAUAAACAAAAUAUGUUUAAUUGACUCACAGUUCUACAGGCUGUACAGGAGGCAUGGCUGGGGAGGCCUUAGGAAACUCACAAUCAUGGUGGAAGGGCAAAGGGGAAGCAGACAUGUCUUCACAUGGCAGCAGGAGAGAGAGAGUGAAGGGGGAAGUGCUACACACUUUCAAACAACCCAGUCUUGUGAGAAUUCACUCACUAUCAUGAGAACAGCAAGGGGGAAACCACCACCAUGAUGUAAUCACCUCCCAUCAAGUCCCUCCCCCAACAUUGAGAAUUACAAUUCAACAUGAGACUUGGGUGGGGACACAGAGACAAACCCUAUCAGGAAGUAAAUUUAAAAAAUUGAUUCAAGAGAUUUUUGGGAGUUUAAGGUGAUAUAAACUCUUGCAAAUUGUAUAGGGAGAAGAAAAAUCAAGAAUGACACCCAGAAUACUGACUUGAGUAACCAAGUGCAUGGUGGCACUUAUCAAGACAGAGUAGAGGACACAGAAGGACUAGGUUUUGGGAAUUUCAUAUGUAUUUGAUAUGCUUAUGGAAAAUCUAGGUGGAGUCUAUCAUGCAGUUGUCAGUUGCUUGGGAGACUAGAACUACAGACCUAAUCAACUAAGAGGCUUCAUUUUGGGGUGGGGAAAUGCAAUUACUUACACUCCAUUACAUUCUGGAAAAUGCAACUUACAUGAUCAAAAUGAGCAAAUACAGAAGUCCAGGGAAAAUCAAAAUAUGGAUAUAAGAUAUAAAAUCAAACCAAAGUCUGCCCAUGUUUAUAAUAGACUUCAAAUUUUGUGCUACAAUUCCUUAUAACCAAUGCAAAAAAUGAGGCAGUCGCUUGAAUCACUGUAUCUGUAGGACAAACAUCAGUUAUUUAGGGGAAGCCACUUGGUCUAGGUACUGAGACUUUCCAACGUGAUGUGAUGAGGAAAUACCCCAACAAUAUCCUCAUAGAAAAUAAAAUGUUUCAUUGGACUUUAUCUUUGGCUCUCAAAAAGGUCAAACUAAAGCAAAGUUGUACCAGACCACUUUUAUAUGGGUUCAGUCAUUCUCAAUUCAUUCAUCUUCUUCAUAAAAUGCCUAGGUCAAUAACCCUUCAAGGGUGUUGUGAUAGAGAACAGAACCAGGUGGGAUCCAUAUGACCUUCUGGUUCCCAGCAUAGCAAUAUCAAGAAAACAAUAUAGCCUUACAGACUGUUGUCUUAAAGAGGACGGUUUUCUUCUCUCAUCUUAUGGAUUUUACUUAACUAUAUUUCUUUAUAUUUAUACAUUUAAAUUGUUUCUCUGAAGAAGGUCAACAUUACAGGGCAGAUAGUUUCAAAGUCACUAGUUUUAGGCCAGAAAAACUUUUCUUGUUUAAAAUGUUACAAAUGGAUCAGUAGAAUAGCUGUUGCUAUGAGCCAUUAACUGGAACAUGAGAAUGGACUUGUACUGAAUCAUUAUUAUCCAGCACUUUUUCCUAUUUCUGUAAAAAGGUUAGCUGAGUAAACUUAGAGUCUGAAAUAGACAAGGAGCAGAUUAUCUAAAUUAGAACAUAUGUUCAUCACUUUUCUCCUCAAAAAAGAGCAUCUCUCAACAAUAUGUUUCAUCAUCUUGAUUAUCCAGGUUUUGUUGUUCCCAUCUAAGCAGAAUCAGAUCCCUCAUGUGCACUGUGAGAAUAUCCUUAGUGCUUGUUGCAGUAAUCUGCAUUUAUUUAUAAUUAUCCUUCAACCUUUUAUGAUUGGAAGAUGUUGGGAAUUGAGUUGGUGAAGACACACGGAGAGAUAUGUGGAAAAAUGGGGCAUAUGGAUAUAACAAAGAGAUUUACUCCACUUGCUUUUAGCUUAGGUUUCUGAUACCUUUCCUCAUAAACUGUUUAUUCUCAUUUUAAAAAUUAUAAACUUACAUCUGGAAUUAAAGACUUUUUGUAACCUACAAUACAUGAAAAGAAAAUGAUCAAAGUGUAAAUACACAGCAUUAAAAAUUGUUACGUGCAAAUACUCAGGUAGCUAUCAUACAGACCAAGAAAUAUGAUUUUGGCAGAAUUCCAGAAAUAUCCCCCACCACACCCACAUGUCUCUUCCCAUCAUCAGUUCCUCCAUGCCACAGGAAUCACGACUCACUUUUAUGAUCAUCACUAUGCACGCCUAAAUAUUGACUUUUUGAACUUUCUGUAAAUGGAAUCAUUGAAUAUGUAUCUUUUGUGUCUGAUUUCUUUUAUUCAAUCUUAUGUUUUUAGAAUUCAUCCAUGGUGUUGUGUGCUACGAUGCAUUCAUUUUCAUUGCUGUGUUAAAUUUCACUGUUUGAAUAAAUCCCAAUUACUUAUUCAUUUUAUUAUGUAUGGACAUCUGAGUGCUUUCCAGUGUGGAGCUCCCCUGCCCCUCACUUCUUCAAUCAGUCUUGUUGCUCUUUGGUAAUGCGAUUUCCACAAUAAAAAAGGGUUGGAAAGAGGAGAUGAGGAGGUUUACUUACUGUCAGCCAUUACAAACCUUUUCUGGAAAACUAUCUUCUAUGAAGUCAUUUGACCACACUUAUCUUUUAAAAAAUAUAUAAUUUUAACUUUUAUUUCAGAUUCAAGGGGUACAUGUGCAGGUUUGCUACAUGGGCAUAUUGUGUGAUGGUUUAGAGUACAAUGGAUCCCGUCACCCAAAUAACCGAGUCCUGCAAACGUAGAAGGUCUCAAGAAAACCACUUCAUCAAUACUCACACAGGAGCAGAUCCUAUCGUCUACAGCCACAGCUUCCCAGCAUUGGUGGAAAAG
rnacentral:lncRNA from 1 species